rnacentral:rRNA from 1 species
CAAAUUUUAGCGGCGGACGGGUGAGUAACACGUGGGCAACCUACCUUGUAGAUUGGGAUAACUCCGGGAAACCGGGGCUAAUACCGAAUAAUCCAUUUUGCUUCAUGGCGAGAUGUUAAAAGGCGGCUUCGGCUGUCACUACGAGAUGGGCCCGCGGCGCAUUAGCUAGUUGGUAGGGUAAUGGCCUACCAAGGCGACGAUGCGUAGCCGACCUGAGAGGGUGAUCGGCCACACUGGGACUGAGACACGGCCCAGACUCCUACGGGAGGCAGCAGUAGGGAAUCUUCCACAAUGGACGAAAGUCUGAUGAGCAACGCCGCGUGAGUGAAGAAGGUUUUCGGUAUCGUAAAACUACUGUUGUAAGGGAAGAACACGUACGAGAGUAACUGCUCGUACCUUGACGGUACCUUAUUAGAAAGCCACGGCUAACUACGUG